GCCGGUGAUCUGAUUGUUGCUCAGAUCUAGGUGCAUUAGCCUCGCGAGGUUCACAAUGGACGAUGGGAUCUCACCGCUGAUUUUGUUGUCAGCGACGUUCAGAACAGUUAAUUUCCCUAACUUUCCGAUGUCGGCAGGGAGUUUUCCGGUGAGCUGGUUCCCGAUGAGGUCUAGGAUGCGGAGGUGAGGGAGAGAAGUUAUACACGCCGGUAUCUCACCAGAAAUCCCCUUCCAGUCGGCGACAACAAGCGUUGUAAGCCGGUCCAGCGAACAUAGAGAAGGAGAGAGUGAACCGGUCAUGUACCCAGACCGGCCGGCCUUCUCGAAAAUCUUAUCUUCCGACUCGCCACGUAGUACAACGUCAUUGACCCGACUGUCAGUCGGGUCGCAGCUGAUUCCAUACCAG
rnacentral:lncRNA from 1 species